rnacentral:rRNA from 1 species
AUUGAACGCUGGCGGCAUGCUUUACACAUGCAAGUCGAACGGCAGCGCGGGCUUCGGCCUGGCGGCGAGUGGCGAACGGGUGAGUAAUGCAUCGGAACGUGCCCAGUAGUGGGGGAUAGCCCAGCGAAAGCCGGAUUAAUACCGCAUACGACCUGAGGGUGAAAGCGGGGGACCGAAAGGCCUCGCGCUAUUGGAGCGGCCGAUGUCGGAUUAGCUAGUUGGUGGGGUAAAGGCUUACCAAGGCGACGAUCCGUAGCUGGUCUGAGAGGACGACCAGCCACACUGGGACUGAGACACGGCCCAGACUCCUACGGGAGGCAGCAGUGGGGAAUUUUGGACAAUGGGGGCAACCCCGAUCCAGCCAUGCCGCGUGCGGGAAGAAGGCCUUCGGGUUGUAAACCGCUUUUGUUCGGGAAGAAAUCCUCUGGGCUAAUACCCCGGGGGGAUGACGGUACCGGAAGAAUAAGCACCGGCUAACUACGUG